rnacentral:lncRNA from 1 species
AUGAGGCCACUAAGAAGGAUCUCUGCCACACCUCAUUUGCAACACCAAACACAUGAUGGUCAGACAAAUAUGGCUUCAUUGGCUACCAAAAUGGGAGUUCUUCCAAAGGAGAGGAGUGUUUCCAGCACAGCAGCACAAAACAGCGCGAACACCCCCACAAGACGCUCCACCAGCACUGCCCUGGCUCACAGCAGAAGGACAAGCCCCGAGACAUGGGUGCAUGCCCAACUGCACCCCAUGUAUCCCUGCCACCAUGUUCUUAUGGAUCCACAGCAGCGAUGCUGGAUGUCACCCUGCAGCCACCUGUUUUUCCAAAGUUCCUUCUCUAACACACCCUGCAAAAGAACAGCUCGCGUAUGGCCAACGAGUGCUGCACACCACAAAAAUCACGAGCACGUACUGAGGCCAACAUCUUCUGCACAAGACCGCUUAAAGAAGAAUGUAACAACUCCUGAUACAAGAGAAACACGUCCCUUUAAUUUUCAACUUUAAAGGAUCGUAAACACUGGAAGAAAAGGACGGAUGCCACACUCUCCUCCCUUCUGUCUGUAAAACCUAUUCCCCUCAAGGGAUGACAGUAAGACUGACACACAUCCCUUUCUCAAAAGCCACUAAAAUAGCUUUGCCAUGGGCUUCACAUGGAAUUUGCAACACUGAGCGCAUCUUUCUGGACUCAUCCUUCUGGCACAUCGAUAGUCAGGGCUCCUGCUGCCCAUCCCCUCCGCGCUCUUUUCGCCUAACGCUAUUUACUGCCGCUACCUUUUCAUAAUUAAGAGCCCGUAUCAAAGCAGUUGUAACACCAUUCAAGCAGCUUUUCUAAGGAAUCAAAUCUAAAUGAAAAGGCAAAAUAUAUAAAUGCCCCAUCUUCCACUGUGCAUAACUGAUUCGCUCUGCAUUUCAUCCGCAGGGAGAGGUACAGAUUCCAAAAGACGGGGAGGAAGGACCAUUCACAACAGCAGCAUCACACAGCCAGCAAGGAGAGCUGCAUGUGUAUUUUGCAUCCUAAAAACAGCCUGCUGACCACACUCUGGCCGUUACAGCAGGAUUGUUUGUCACAAUUCACAGGAGUGAGCAUUUAACCUACUGACUCCCGCAUCACAGCGCAGGCCAGGUGUUUGUUUCUUUUGUUAGAUUAAUAUUGGUGACAGAAUAACACUCAUUAAUGGAGAUAAUGACUAGACGGUGAGGCAGAAUAACAAUCCUUCCAAUGUACUGUACAAAGGAGUCUUCAACUUCAUUAAUUAAUAAAAUCUAUUAAAGAAUACA